rnacentral:rRNA from 1 species
UACGAAGGGGACUAGCGUUGUUCGGAAUCACUGGGCGUAAAGCGCACGUAGGCGGAUUUGUAAGUCAGGGGUGAAAUCCCGGGGCUCAACCUCGGAACUGCCUUUGAUACUGCGAAUCUUGAGUCCGAUAGAGGUGGGUGGAAUUCCUAGUGUAGAGGUGAAAUUCGUAGAUAUUCGGAAGAACACCAGUGGCGAAGGCGGCUCACUGGCCCGGUACUGACGCUGAGGUGCGAAAGCGUGGGGAGCAAACAGG